AUCCUUUUGUGGUUCAUAAUCAUAAUGAUUGGUUUUUCACACUAUUGUGUGAGAUGUACCGCUCUCAAAUCUUGUUAAAAAUUGUUGGCACAUUACCCAUCUGCUG